ACUUAGCUCUAUUUUACGAUUCCUUAACAUAAGCCUGCUAUCUUGGCAUAACAUCUUAAAAAGGUACAAAACAAUAC
rfam:Drosophila mojavensis strain TSC#15081-1352.22 Ctg01_8337, whole genome shotgun sequence.